rnacentral:rRNA from 1 species
AAUCAACGCUGGCGGCGUGCCUAACACAUGCAAGUCGAACGGGAAAACAGGGGCAACUCUGUGAGUACAGUGGCGUACGGGUGAGUAACACGUGACUAGCCUGCCCUUCGGUGGGGGAUAACCUCGGGAAACCGGGGCUAAUACCGCAUAACAUCUCCGGGAUGAGAAGCCGGAGAGCAAAGGAGCAAUUCGCGGAAGGAGGGGGUAGCGGCUGACUAGCGAGUUGGCGGGGUAACGGCCCACCAAGGCGAUGAUCGGUAGCCGGCCUGAGAGGGCGCACGGCCACACUGGAACUGAAACACGGUCCAGACUCCUACGGGAGGCAGCAGUGGGGGAUAUUGGACAAUGGGGGGAACCCUGAUCCAGCCAUGCCGCGUGUGUGAAGAAGGCCUUAUGGUUGUAAAGCACUUUAAGCGAGGAGGAGGCUCUUUUGGUUAAUACCCAAGAUGAGUGGACGUUACUCGCAGAAUAAGCACCGGCUAACUC